AUUGAACGCUGGCGGCAUGCCUUACACAUGCAAGUCGAACGGUAACAGGUUAAGCUGACGAGUGGCGAACGGGUGAGUAAUACAUCGGAACGUGCCCAGUAGUGGGGGAUAGCCCGGCGAAAGCCGGAUUAAUACCGCAUACGACCUAAGGGUGAAAGGGGGGGAUCGCAAGACCUCUCGCUAUUGGAGCGGCCGAUGUCAGAUUAGCUAGUUGGUGGGGUAAAAGCUCACCAAGGCGACGAUCUGUAGCUGGUCUGAGAGGACGACCAGCCUCACUGGGACUGAGACACGGCCCAGACUCCUACGGGAGGCAGCAGUGGGGAAUUUUGGACAAUGGGCGCAAGCCUGAUCCAGCCAUGCCGCGUGCGGGAAGAAGGCCUUCGGGUUGUAAACCGCUUUUGUCAGGGAAGAAAUCCUUUGGGUUAAUACCUCGGGGGGAUGACGGUACCUGAAGAAUAAGCACCGGCUAACUACGUG
rnacentral:rRNA from 1 species